CAGCCGCCACGGGAAUACAGAGGGUGCAAGCGUUAAUCGGAAUUACUGGGCGUAAAGCGCGCGUAGGUGGUUCGUUAAGUUGGAUGUGAAAUCCCCGGGCUCAACCUGGGAACUGCAUCCAAAACUGGCGAGCUAGAGUAGGGCAGAGGGUGGUGGAAUUUCCUGUGUAGCGGUGAAAUGCGUAGAUAUAGGAAGGAACACCAGUGGCGAAGGCGACCACCUGGGCUCAUACUGACACUGAGGUGCGAAAGCGUGGGGAGCAAACAGGAUUAGAUACCCCAGUAGUCCCUGUCUCUUAUAC
rnacentral:rRNA from 1 species